AAAUUUCUCAGUAUCUGAAACUAGGGUAGAAGUGUUUUUUUAUAUUUUUAUGAAGAGUCGAUUCAAAGAGUUGUAAGAUACAACCCCUCAUCUUAAAUAUAUUUUGAGCCUUUAUGCAACCAUUUCUUUCUAACCUUAUCCAAAAGCCUUCCAAAUAAAGACCUCCUAAUCAAUCUUUAAGAAUGCCAAGUGAAGCACGCAAUAAGCAACAGUUUUCACAUGAUAUAGAAUAAUGUCAAGUUGCUCACACAAGAAAGCAAAAAUAAAAAUUAAAAAUGAGAGAGUCUUACUAGUGAAAAUUCUCAUGGUCCAUGUAAGACGAUGGCAAGUAGAGAUAAAUACAUGAGAGAGGUCGGUUGAUGAAUACCUUUUGGGGCACUACCGGUCGAAGGUGAGUUGUGAUUUGAUGCAAACGAUUGGCGCAAAGAGGCCAACUUCAAAGAUGAAACGGAACAACAAGAAUAAAAGGUAGAUUGGUUGGAUAGAUUUAGCCGCUCAGUCCAAAAUACAUGUCAUGAUCAUUAAAGUUGGCUACCACAUUCAAAAGAUCUCUUUUUUAGUUUUCUUCUUUCUUUCUCCCCUAAAGUGACAUUUUUAGUUAAAUACUAUUCCUUGUUACUUCUACAUCGCGCCAUUGUGUGCAUUUGCAUUAUUCUUUUGAGUCAAUCUUUAUUAAACAAACAAGAAAUGAUUUCAAAAUCUGUUACCAGCUUUCUCACUGUACAAAGCGAGUUCUAUCCUAGCACAUCAAAGAGGACAUACCGAAGAAGCAACAUGAACAAUAAAUUAUUGAAGUUAAACAAGAUCUGAGGGUUCAUGCAUACGGAAGUUCCAAAGAGAAAAGUUUAUUGGUCUAUUUGUUUAGAAGCCAACAAAGAAAGGGCCACAAAAUUGAUUAUUGUUUCCCGAAAGUGCCAAACAAAAUGUGGGGCAUACACGACAUUGUCAAAAGCACACAUACAUCUGUGAUCUCCUCUGGUAAGUCGAACAAAGUGCUUUAAUCAAAUUGAAAAGGUCGCUAAACAAGACUUGCUUCAUGGAAAAAUUGAUAGCACUACGGACACAAACUGAUAUUGGGUGAAAGACAACUAAGUUUGCUUUUAAUGGAAAAAUUGCCUUGCCUUGGGGAUAAGGGUCAACGAUACCAUGGACAUCCGGGUAUGAAAUCGUGGGGGAGAUGUCGGAAAGUCCAGGUAUCCAGAAAGCGAUAUAAAGUAUCCGAGCAUCUCGGUACCACACAGACAGAAUCGGUUCUUCGACAGUAGUGGCCAUGAAUUCAAGCCACUCAGGGCAUCAAGGCCACAAACCGACCACUACAUUGAAAACUCACAAAUUUUCUUUGUUUGAAGCAGGAACAAAGUAAUGCAACAUUAAGAUUCUCAAAGGAUGAAUGUCACCAAAGGUAGAACAUUUUUGCCUAAGUGGAUCCAGCUAAUAUUUCCAGGCAGAAGUACUCUUCUCUCAGCUUCGAACGUUUGGCGCCGAGUUGAGGAUUUAAAGCACAAUUUUGGAUCGGAAAGUAA